rnacentral:rRNA from 1 species
UCUACGGGAGGCAGCAGUGAGGAAUUUUCCGCAACGAGCGAAAGCCUGACGGAGCAAUACCGCGUGAGGGAGGAAGGCUCUUGGGUUGUAAACCUCAAAACUUAGGGAAGAAGAAAGUGACGGUACCUAAUAUAAGCAUCGGCUAACUCCGUGCCAGCAGCCGCGGUAAUACGGAGGAUGCAAGCGUUAUCCGGAAUCAUUGGGCGUAAAGAGUCUGUAGGUGGCAUUUAAAGUCUGCUGUCAAAGACCGAAGCUCAACUUCGGGCAGGCGGUGGAAACUGAAAAGCUAGAGUAUAGUAGGGGUAGAGGGAAUUCCUAGUGUAGCGGUGAAAUGCGUAGAGAUUAGGAAGAACACCAGUGGCGAAGGCGCUCUACUGGGCAUAUACUGACACUGAGAGACGAAAGCUAGGGUAGCGAAAGGGAUUAGAUACCCCUGUAGUCCUAGCGGUAAACGAUGGAUACUAGGUGUAGUCUGUAUCGACCCAGACUGUGCCGAAGCAAACGCGUUAAGUAUCCCGCCUGGGGAGUACGCACGCAAGUGUGAAACUCAAAGGAAUUGACGGGGACCCGCACAAGCGGUGGAGUAUGUGGUUUAAUUCGAUGCAACGCGAAGAACCUUACCAAGGCUUGACAUCCUGCGAAUUUUGGGGAAACUCAGAAGUGCCUUAGGGAACGCAGAGACAGGUGGUGCAUGGCUGUCGUCAGCUCGUGUCGUGAGAUGUUGGGUUAAGUCCCGCAACGAGCGCAACCCUCGUCCUUAGUUGCCAGCAUUAAGUUGGGGACUCUAGGGAGACCGCCGGGGAGAACUCGGAGGAAGGUGGGGAUGACGUCAAGUCAGCAUGCCCCUUACGUCUUGGGCUACACACGUACUACAAUGGUUGAGACAAAGGGAAGCGAAGCCGCGAGGUGAAGCGAAUCCCAGCAAACUCAGCCCCAGUUCAGAUUGCAGGCUGAAACUCGCCUGCAUGAAGGAGGAAUCGCUAGUAAUCGCAGGUCAGCAUACUGCGGUGAAUCCGUUCCC